AUGCUUUAGGAAAGAAAAAAUGCUUGGAGUUGACUGAACAAGCAGAGGUCCUUUAUAAGGCAAGUGUAUCUUGCUGGAGAUCCCUUCGUACUCAGGACCUUCUAAAGAAUAGAUGCCCCAGGGGAACAGAAGAUUGAGCAUGCUGCCCUUUGGCCAUUGGCACUAAUUUGCCAAUUCAGUAGAGAUGACAAAAGACGAAGUGGGGAGUCCACGCCCAUCUCAGGUAAAAGAAUUGCCUGUUUCAAGAAAACUGGGAAACACUGAUAGGACAAAAUAAAUGGGAGAAGAACAAGACUCCUAUGUCAUCUUGUGGACUUCAGACACAGCGCCAGAUCAAACGUAGUUAUGGUGAGAAAACAUUGAUAUUCUGCCUUCUCCUUGAGCAUAAAGCAGACAACAAACACCUCACUUUAACCUGUAAAUGCUAGGAGGGCUUUGUAUGGACGCUCUAGGUUUGUUGGAAUUUUCUUCCUUCUAAAACGAAUCUCAGAGUCACUGUAGACUAAGAAAAAGAGCAGAUUAAUCGAAUCGGCCUCCCGAACCACCCAGAUUGUACUUCACAAAGGUUUCUGUGUGUUCUUAGCAAGGUCAAUUGACUAAGUAGUCAUCUGUGAGUGUGGAUUCUUGUCUCUUUCUCUCCUUCUCUCAAAUUAGGAGAUAUCUGGGCUUGGUGCUCUAUUUUGCCAGUUGCUCUGGCUUCAAAUUUUGAAUUUUUUUUAAAAAAUUACAUAGUUGAGUCUAAUGUUCAAUUUCAGUGGUUUUCAGGGGAUUAUUUGUAGUGCCUAUUCUGUUAUACAGAGAAAUCUUUCUUUAAAAACACGAUCCAUCUUUCUAGUAGUACUUCAUUUAGAAAUUCAGAGUGGGCAGAUAGCCCUGAGAUAUGGAUAUCCUCUUCUUUCCCCUUCUAUCUGAAAAAGGGGAAAAAAAAAAUCUAGUAUUUUUUUCAGUAUUGCUGAUGUCCCAGACACGUCUGAGUAACUGUCAUGUACAAUCAGUAUCUAUCCAUGGGAAUCUCAUAGAACCAGGGUGGUUUUAAUGUUCACCAGAAUAUUUCUGUGAGAGUUCCUAGGAUGCCAGGGAAAGCACUGACUGACCACAGAAAACAGAUAUGAGACAAGUGCAUGAUGACUUUUUUUUUUUUUAAGGAAAAAAGUAUUAAGGAUCCAACUGAGAACUACACUGACAUAACCAUAUGUACUUUUGGUCACUGUUAAGUCUGUGUUUUCCAGCCUGUUAACUCCACGAGAAUAAGACAUAGCUGCAGUAUGGAGCUGAGUCAGUUUGGAUUCAGCAUUUAAAGAAAGAAUGGAAGAGAAGCAACCAGGUGUCAAAAGAUGUAAGUAGGUUAGAUCACAAUGAGGAGAUAGCCUUCCCAUCUGCUGGGAACUCCUUUGCAAGGUAAGACUGUUAGAUGUACAAGUCCCUGGCUGGGACUGGUGAAGAGGAUGUAAGCAUGGAAACUAACAGAGCUCUACUAUGAUCAAGUAGGGGAUGAGGGCAGCAUUCCCUAUAAAAAGGAUCUUGAGGUCCCUGCUGAGGUGCCAAGGUUGAAUAUUUUGCCAGAGGUGGAAACUGAAUUGAUUUGUGCCCCUCAGGCUAGCUCCAGGAACCUCACUCCUGCCUGAGAGCAUUAGUCCACAUGUGGAGAGAGGCUUUUCAGCUGGAGACGAGUUUAUGGCUUUUGACUUUUUCAUGUUCAUGUGUUUUUAUAAAGCCACAAUCGUUUUGUUUUUUUUUUAUUGGGCUUUUAUAGAAAGGUCUCUGAAGUCUAGCAAAAUCUCAGCUUAACAGUAGAGAUUGUGCUAGAGAGACAUAUAAGAAGUAAGAGGAAAUAAGAAGGCCAUGGGAGAGAUGGGUAAAUACAGAAGUGCAAGCAGAGUUCUGUCAAAGCAAGUUUCUGACUUACACAUUUAACUUUAUCCGUCAGCCUAGGGGCAAGUCUACAGCAUGAUUAACCUCCUAGAUCUCACUUGUUCCAGGUCCAAGCAUUAUCUGGCCAGAGUGCAUUGCCAAUCCACCAUGCCAGCCAUCCCACCAGAGGCAUCUUGAUGUCAGCAUUGAUGUGACCCAGAAAUGAGGGGAGAGUGACGGGAAUUCACUGUGCUGGGGAAUUCAGUGCUGCAGAUAGUGAAACACCUUCCAAACCAGAAGAGGUUGCUCUGUGUUCCAAUAUUACUGAUGGUAAAGGAAAUGUUGUGUGAAAUGUUCUGGUCAGCCAAGGAAGUGGACCAUGCAGCAUGGGAUGGCAGCCCCUUCGUGAUCCCUGAGGCUUUGGUGCUGGGAUCAGCACAAGGAAGGACGCCAGAGGAAAAAGUAUGAGAUUACCUCUCAGCAAAACCCUUUGGCCUGAAUCACUGACAUCUUUGAUUUAAGCAGUAAUUUAAAACAUGCAUGAUGAGAAGUCAGGGAAGGGAUCCAGGAAGGCCUGGGGUCCAGCCAACCUGGUGUGCCUGCCAAUUUGCUGUUCUGAAGGUCAGGUUCAGGUUGGAAAUGUAUUGCUCAGAGGAAGCAGAUGGAAGAAGAGGUGUCUCUGAGUUUGAAUCAGCUUCUGUAUGAUCAUGGCUUAAUGAUCAUAAAUCCUCUGGGGCCUGCAACCUAACAAGGGAAUAAAGGAGGAAGCGCCGUCUCUCUCAGAUCAAAGUAAAGAGAAAAGCUGAGAUGUAAAGGAGACGAAAUGAGCUGCAGGGUAUGUGAAAAUCAGAGCUCCCAUACAGCUUGCUGGAGACUGCCAAAAUAGGGUUCUCCACAGCCAUCCCCUACCUAUGCAAUAUAGUGAUGGGAGCGUUUUUAGAUAAGAUCAGACCCAGAGAGAACAUGCCUGGCUCUGUUUCUUCCAGCGGAACAAUAUGGAAACCCACUGCUGGGAAACCGUUUUUCCGAGCCAGAGAGGAGGCAGGGAAUUGUUCUGUGCAACCAUUCAGGAGCCUCCGCUCCCACGCAUUCUCCCGCUUGCUGACACCCUGCCAGGACCGCAAAGGAGGAAUUGAUUUACAUGCAGUAAGUCAACUAAAUAAAUAGAUAAAUAAAGCCCUUCCUACCUUGCUCAGCUAAAGAAAGGGAGGGACUAAGAUGAAAUUCAGUGGGAAGUCCUCUGCAGGUGUGCUGCUGCUGCUGCCCGGAGCUGGGCACUGGGUGCUGACAGCACUGGUAAACGUGAUAUUUAUUCCCUGGGAGGGAAUUUUGGACUGCUCUUCGUAAGGCUUGUCACUUACUGUCUUCUGUUCUUGCUACUGGACUCGGUGCUGUGUGAGAUCCCUGAGCUCAGGCAGCUUUCGGUGGCUUCAGCAAGUGUGUCCCAAUUGUUUUAGUUCUUAUUUCGAUGAGCUAGUUCCUAAAAGCCCAGAUUCACUGCAGAAAGAUACCCCUUUGGCCUGAAACACUUCUCCUUUUGGGGACAGUGUCAAAUUGCUUGAAGAAAGAGCAUACAGAAGAGGGUUAUAGCAGUAUCCAUCCUCAAACUGGAUCCCAUCCUCUCCUAACUCCCAUUAAUUUGCUCCUUCCUGAGAAGUCUGCCCUGUAGACCGCUGUGCUUAAUAGGUGCCCUCCUCUGUGAUUUUCCUCCCCCUUUCCUACUUCUGGUCGUUUCAGCGUUCAUUGACAAAGGGGAGGUGGGGGUAGUGUGAAGAAAUACCACUGCACUUUGAAGCUUGCUCCUUUGAGCCAGCCUGUCCCUGUCUGGGAGCAGGUAGCCCACAACCGUGCACCAUUCCUUCCUACUUUGUCAUGCCCUCAGCUGCCCACACAGCUGCAGAAAUGCAGGGAAUAGGUUUGUAGGCCAUGAUGUGUUCUCGUGAAUUAUCUCCCAAUAAAACAGAGAUCUGGUGAUGGAGAUAGCGCUGCUGGGAGCUAAAAUGUGAGCUCAGUGCCUGAAACUGCCCCUGGGUUUCAUAGGGGCAUUCAACUCCCACUCUAUUUAAAUGCAAAUGACCUUUUCCUUCGCACUCCACUACUACCAGAACCGGGUCAGCCAAGAGAACAGUUGUUUCACUUUGUUAUAAAAAAUUGCUCAACUGACAUUCUCAUGGAGCUAAAGUUCUACUUCUCCUGCUAACAGACUGCCACAGCAGAUGAGAUGGGGGGGACAGAGUGAAGUUCAGGAAAUUUUCAUGUACCAGGUAGUUCAGUUUAAGGCAACAAUCAAUAGCAAAUUACAGCUGGAAUAGAGAGGAGGGUAGCUCUACUUGCUUGAAUACCUGUGAUGGGGGCCUACCUCCCGAGAAAGGAGGCAGAAAUGUCCUUUACUGCCAGCAUUUUCCUGCCUUUUCCCAGAGCAGCAGGCGUGCUGCUCUUUAAUCCCAGCAAAGGAUAGGAGCCAGCCCCAGGAUACCUUGCACCCAGAAAUUGACUCGAGCAAAUAUAUAUAUGUGUGUGUGUGUGUAUGUACAUACACAAGAGCUGUAGAUAAAAUGUAUGGAUUCAACAGAUACGGCUUCCCUGUACUGCUCUUUGUUUCACACUAUUAACCCUGUCCCCUCUCUCCUUGCUCACAUCUCUUCUCUGCCUUGCCCAAAAGCCCAUUGCUCUUUGCUCAAACUGACGGGACAGCUGACGUGGAGAAGUUAACCAGGAACAAGUGUUUCCCACCUGUGUGCAGCUGAACAUGGUGCACUUUGGUUUCAGUUCUGACGAAGUGCCGGUGAGCCUGACAGUGCAUCUGUUUUUCUAACUCUCUUGGUUAGUCCGAG
ensembl:lncRNA